CACAAAGCACGCGUCUAAAUAAACGCGUGCUUUUUUGAGACGUGUCUAUCAAACCACACGAAAUUAACGCCUGGUUUGGCUCAAUCAGCGUCUGGUUUUCCAAAAUUAAAGUCUGCUUGCUUGAAUCUCCAAUGGGAAAUUACGGCAACAAUUGUAACAUCUAAUACAUCAUCUAUGAUGUCCCAAAGGCCCAACUCCUUCUCAGGUCACCUUCUGGCAGCAACCAUGCAGCUGGAUUUCACUGUGCAACCAGGCCUACCCAAGCUGCUGCUGCUGGGCCCAGGGUUGAUUGUAAUGGCACACUGGGACUUGCAGAUGACCUGAAAUACAUAUUUUUCUUUCUGCUGUGUAAGAUGUAGGCCUACUGCUUUUAACUUGAGUCGAACGCUAUUAAACCCUCCCAUGGUCAGCAAACACUAGCCAUUGCUCUACUUCAGAAAGGAUACUGUUCACUGCUGUAUGAGUCAAUAGGACAUUACCUGAAUGACUUGUAGUGAUCGGGAGGUUAUGCCUGUGCUGAUGAUGGUAUAAACCAUGUUAGAUUGUUGGCUCUGUGCAUUGUUUGGGUCUCCUCUCUCUGUGUUCUGCUUCUGUGUCUUUGGUUCUGUUGCAGGAUGGCAGGCAGGUAGAGGAGCUGUGAUUGCUGCAAGGGCACACCUGUGACCUGUGCCUUGGUCCUUAAUAAGCUGUGCCCUAACAAGCUGGGUCUCUCCAUUACUAGCAGGAACAUCAUCACUGUUUGCUUUUUAGUGUGUAAUGAUUCUCUUCACUCUACACUUGCACUGAUCCCACACCCAUUCCAUACACUUCUAAUUUACCAACCAUUUCUUUGUAAGCACUUUUUAUUAAAUAAAUACAUUGUUAUCCUUA